UACGUAGGGGGCGAGCGUUGUCCGGAAUCAUUGGGCGUAAAGAGCUCGUAGGCGGCUUGUCGCGUCGGCUGUGAAAACCCGCGGCUCAACUGUGGGCGGGCAGCUGAUACGGGCAGGCUGGAGUUCGGUAGGGGAGACUGGAAUUCCUGGUGUAGCGGUGAAAUGCGCAGAUAUCAGGAGGAACACCGGUGGCGAAGGCGGGUCUCUGGGCCGAUACUGACGCUGAGGAGCGAAAGCGUGGGGAGCGAACAGG
rnacentral:rRNA from 1 species